CAAUACGUGAGGAAAAAAACUCACGGGGUGGAAACAAGGUCACACUCCCGCUGAGUUUUCGGAA
rnacentral:sRNA from 10 species